UACGAAGGGGGCUAGCGUUGCUCGGAAUUACUGGGCGUAAAGGGCGCGUAGGCGGCGGAAGUAGUCAGGCGUGAAAUUCCUGGGCUCAACCUGGGGGCUGCGUUUGAUACGCUUUUGCUAGAGGACGGAAGAGGCUCGUGGAAUUCCCAGUGUAGAGGUGAAAUUCGUAGAUAUUGGGAAGAACACCGGUGGCGAAGGCGGCGAGCUGGUCCGUUACUGACGCUGAGGCGCGACAGCGUGGGGAGCAAACAGG
rnacentral:rRNA from 1 species